rnacentral:tRNA from 1 species
UCCCUGGUGGUCUAAAGGUUAGGAUUCGGCGCUCUUACUGCCAUGGCCCUGGUUCGAAUCCUGGUCAGGGAA